CCGGGGAUAACAGGCUUAUCUCCCCCAAGAGUUCACAUCGACGGGGAGGUUUGGCACCUCGAUGUCGGCUCAUCGCAUCCUGGGGCUGUAGUCGGUCCCAAGGGUUGGGCUGUUCGCCCAUUAAAGCGGUACGCGAGCUGGGUUCAGAACGUCGUGAGACAGUUCGGUCCCUAUCCGUCGUGGGCGUAGGAAAUUUGAGAGGAGCUGUCCUUAGUACGAGAGGACCGGGAUGGACAUACCUCUGGUGUACCAGUUGUCGUGCCAACGGCAUAGCUGGGUAGCUAUGUAUGGACGGGAUAAGUGCUGAAAGCAUCUAAGCAUGAAGCCCCCCUCAAGAUGAGAUUUCCCAACUUCGGUUAUAAGAUCCCUCAAAGAUGAUGAGGUUAAUAGGUUCGAGGUGGAAGCGUGGUGACACGUGGAGCUGACGAAUACUAAUCGAUCGAAGACUUAAUCAAUUU
rnacentral:rRNA from 1 species